GAAUAUAAACUUAAUGUGUGUGCUCUCCCUCUGCCCGGUUAGCCGGUGCGGGGGAGUUGUGCCAUGUCUUAACAAUAAACGACUCUCGGCAACGGAUAUCUCGGCUCUCGCAUCGAUGAAGAACGUAGCGAAAUGCGAUACUUGGUGUGAAUUGCAGAAUCCCGUGAACCAUCGAGUUUUUGAACGCAAGUUGCGCCCGAAGCCUUUGGCUGAGGGCACGUCUGCCUGGGCGUCACGCAUCGCGUCUCCCCCAAACCCACCUCGAGUGGAGGGGAAGGACGAUGGCUUCCCGCGUCUCACCGGACGCGGUUGGCCUAAAAUUGGAGCCCUCGGCAUAGGGAUGCCGCGGCGAUAGGUGGUGAACAUGGCCCCGGCCAAGCAAGCAACCCGUCGCGCGUCGCUGUGCCAUUGCGAGCUCGAAGGACCCUUUGACGUUGCCUCGUUGCAACCAAACCGUUGCG
rnacentral:rRNA from 1 species